rnacentral:rRNA from 1 species
AGCAGCCGCGGUAAUUCCAGCUCCAAUAGCGUAUAUUAAAGUUGUUGCAGUUAAAAAAGCUCGUAGUUGAAUUUCGGGAUCAAUAUGUCUGUCGUGCCUUUGGUACGUACGGGUAUAAUUGGUUUCUACCUUCUGAUGAACCUUGAUGCCAUUAAUUUGGUGUCUUGGGGGACUCAGGACUGUUACCUUGAAAAAAUUAGAGUGUUUAAAGCAGGCAUACGCUUGAAUACAUUAGCAUGGAAUAAUGGAAUAGGACGUUCGAUUCUAUUUUGUUGGUUUCUAGGAUCGACGUAAUGAUUAAUAGGGAUAGUUGGGGGCAUUAGUAUUCAAUUGUCAGAGGUGAAAUUCUUGGAUUUUAUUGAAGACUAACUACUGCGAAAGCAUUUGCCAAGGAUGUUUUCAUUAAUCAAGAACGAAAGUUAGGGGAUCGAAGACGAUCAGAUACCGUCGUAGUCUUAACCAUAAACUAUGCCGACUAGGGAUCGGAUGAUGUUAAUUUUUUAAUGACUCAUUCGGCGCC